GCCAGGUGCCGUGGUGCACACCUGUAAUCCCAGCAGCUUGGGAGGCUGAAACAGGAGGAUUACAACUUCAAAGCCAGCCUCAGCAAGGGCAAGGCACUAAGUAACUCAGUGAGACCCUGUUUCUA
rnacentral:sRNA from 1 species